GACAGAGGUCCCGAGCGUUAGGCGGAAUCACUGGGCUUAAAGCGUGUGUAGGCGGAUCGUUAAGUACCUUGUGAAAUCCCACGGCUUAACCGUGGAACUGCUUGGUAUACUGGCGAUCUUGAGCCACUUAGGGGCUACCGGAACAAAUGGUGGAGCGGUGAAAUGCGUAGAUAUCUGGAGGAACACCGGUGGCGAAGGCGGCAUCCUGGACCGGUAUUGACGCUGAGGCGCGAAAGCGUGGGGAGCAAACAGG
rnacentral:rRNA from 1 species